CCAGGCUGGUCGCUGGGUGUCCUCCUGGUAGGGCCGAGCCCUGUUUGCGGCUGGGAGGGUUGAAUUACUCUUCCACCUCCUCCAUGUUGUAGCUCCGGCAAACUACGUCGCUCUUCCGGCUUUCACGGUGGCAGAUCCAGUAGCAGCAGCGGCACCAGCAGCAGCGAAUCCAGAAGUGGCAGCUUCAGCAGUGGCAGCAGCAGUGGGGGCUCCAGCAGCGGAAGCGCCAGCUCUGUGGGGCCACACCUGCCAGGCUCAGCUUGCCACACAGGAAAAGCCAGUACCCAGCUCCAGAAAACAGAAGUGGUCCAGCAAUCCAGCCAGCUUACUUGAACCCACAGGUCACAAAAGAGGAAUGUAUAACUGAAACUAAAAUCAUCCAAAAAGUUGCUUACAGCUCCUGUCAUCUGGAUGAGUAGUCCUGGGGAAUUCAAGGUGCAGCUGCCCUAGACUUGACCUCCUGAGUCUCCAGAUCCUCCCUCCUCCUUUCCAGAGGAAGCAGAAGGUUUCAAAUCAGGGAAAUUUGCUAUAAUACACUGGACCUAAAGUGACGGCAGCAUUCGUGACCUCACAGCAGCUGUGACUACAUGCACGAGACCUGCUCAAUGUGGGGACCAUCAACACUUGGUCACAGAUGCUGAAGGAGAGAAACAAGACAAUGUCAACGUAUAAAGACUGGGUAGAAAAGAGAAGGGUUCAGAGAAAUGGGGAUAAGCAACAGGACACAAAAGAGUGUAAUGGGAGAGGGAUAUAAUCAAAAACAUCAUGUAUAUGUAUGAAAAUUGUCAGUAAAUAGUUUUAUUCAUUUAAAAAUCAGACAAUAAAGAAGCAUUUUGCCUAAA